GACGAACGCUGGCGGCGUGCUUAACACAUGCAGGUCGAACGGAAAGGCCCUGCUUUUGUGGGGUGCUCGAGUGGCGAACGGGUGAGUAACACGUGAGUAACCUGCCCUUGACUUUGGGAUAACUUCAGGAAACUGGGGCUAAUACCGGAUAGGAGCUCCUGCUGCAUGGUGGGGGUUGGAAAGUUUCGGCGGUUGGGGAUGGACUCGCGGCUUAUCAGCUUGUUGGUGGGGUAGUGGCUUACCAAGGCUUUGACGGGUAGCCGGCCUGAGAGGGUGACCGGCCACAUUGGGCCUGAGAUACGGCCCAGACUCCUACGGGAGGCAGCAGUGGGGAAUAUUGCACAAUGGGCGGAAGCCUGAUGCAGCAACGCCGCGUGCGGGAUGACGGCCUUCGGGUUGUAAACCGCUUUCGCCUGUGACGAAGCGUGAGUGACGGUAAUGGGUAAAGAAGCACCGGCUAACUACGUG
rnacentral:rRNA from 1 species